GAAUGAAGGAGUAAUGUAAUGAGCACAAAAAUUGAAUUGGGUUUAUGGGUCUGUCCUCUCUGAUGCCUUCAAGCUUUGAUUUGGGGGCAUGGAUCCACGGCAUAAUG